GACGAACGCUGGCGGCGUGCUUAACACAUGCAAGUCGACGACGCUACUGAGUAGCAAUAUUUAGUAGUGGAGUGGCACAAGGGUGAGUAAUGUAUACGUAACCAACCCAUCGGAGACGGAUAACAUUUCGAAAGGGAUGCUAAAACGGCAUGAAGCCACGAUUUCGCAUGAGAUUGUGGUUAAAGAACCGGUAACAGGUUGCCGAUGGCUGGGCGUAUAUCCGAUUAGCUAGUUGGUAGUGUAAUGGACUACCAAGGCGACGAUCGGUAGCUGGUCUGAGAGGAUGAUCAGCCACACUGGCACUGAGACACGGGCCAGACUCCUACGGGAGGCAGCAGUGGGGAAUAUUGGGCAAUGCCCGCAAGGGUGACCCAGCAACGCCGCGUGGAGGAGGAAGGCCGUAAGGUUGUAAACUCUGACAAGCAGGGAAGAACGGCUAUGGUAAAAGGCCAUAGAAUGACGGUACCUGCCUGAAGCCCCGGCUAACUACGUG
rnacentral:rRNA from 1 species